CUAGCCGUAAACGAUGGAUACUAGGCGUUGUGAGUAUCGACCCUCACAGUGUCGUAGCUAACGCGUUAAGUAUCCCGCCUGGGGAGUACGCGCGCAAGCGUGAAACUCAAAGGAAUUGACGGGGGCCCGCACAAGCGGUGGAGUAUGUGGUUUAAUUCGAUGCAACGCGAAGAACCUUACCAGGACUUGGCAUGUCGCGAAUCUCAGGGAAACUUGAGAGUGCCUUCGGGAGCGCGAACACAGGUGGUGC
rnacentral:rRNA from 1 species